rnacentral:rRNA from 1 species
UCCUACGGGGCGCAGCAGUGGGGAAUAUUGGGCAAUGGGCGCAAGCCUGACCCAGCAACGCCGCGUGAAGGAAGAAGGCUUUCGGGUUGUAAACUUCUUUUAAGAGGGAAGAGAAGAAGACGGUACCUCUUGAAUAAGCCACGGCUAACUACGUGCCAGCAGCCGCGGUAAUACGUAGGUGGCAAGCGUUGUCCGGAUUUACUGGGUGUAAAGGGCGUGCAGCCGGGCUGACAAGUCAGAUGUGAAAUCCCGCGGCUCAACCGUAAAAUUGCAAUUGAUACUGGCAGUCUUGAGUACAGUU